rnacentral:rRNA from 1 species
GACGAACGCUGGCGGCGUGCUUAACACAUGCAAGUCGAACGGUAAGGCCCUUCGGGGUACACGAGUGGCGAACGGGUGAGUAACACGUGGGUGAUCUGCCCUGCACUUCGGGAUAAGCCUGGGAAACUGGGUCUAAUACCGGAUAGGACCACUGCCUGCAUGGGUGGUGGUGGAAAGCUUUUGCGGUGUGGGAUGGGCCCGCGGCCUAUCAGCUUGUUGGUGGGGUGAUGGCCUACCAAGGCGACGACGGGUAGCCGGCCUGAGAGGGUGACCGGCCACACUGGGACGGAGAUACGGCCCAGACUCCUACGGGAGGCAGCAGUGGGGAAUAUUGCUCAAUGGGCGCAAGCCUGAUGCAGCGACGCCGCGUGAGGGAUGACGGCCUUCGGGUUGUAAACCUCUUUCAGCACCGACGAAGCGCAAGUGACGGUAGGAGCAGAAGAAGGACCGGCCAACUACGUGCCAGCAGCCGCAGUAA